UGCCCAUGGGCUUUAUUUCGGGCCUCCGCGCUGGUUUUUCUAGGAAUACUGGCGCACGCUAGUGAGUGUCAAGCAGUGAGCGGGACUUCCGGCGGCUGCCUGGGGACCAGCUGCCUCUGGGCGCUCAGAGUGGAUGCGAGCUCAAGGCCCAGUGUUUUGUGUCAAAUAGGAUCCUACAGGUAUCUCUGGAAUCAACAGAACACGCGCCCAACCACACGAGGGCGGCAUACCUGAACAGAGGUUACUGCUGCCAUCAAACAGACCCAUGACUCAUUGGCUACUUGUAUAACCACAGUUGUAGUGCAGAGUAUGAUAUUACUACUGGGUACUGUGAUUGUAAAUGGUCCUGCUAAAUGUUAUUUUUCUUUAUAAACUCUAAUUGGUAUU